rnacentral:rRNA from 1 species
UACGGGGGGGGCAAGCGUUGUUCGGAAUUACUGGGCGUAAAGGGCUCGUAGGUGGCCAACUAAGUCAGACGUGAAAUCCCUCGGCUUAACCGGGGAACUGCGUCUGAUACUGGAUGGCUUGAGUUUGGGAGAGGGAUGCGGAAUUCCAGGUGUAGCGGUGAAAUGCGUAGAUAUCGGAAGGAACAUCAGUGGCGAAGGCGACUUCCUGGACCAAUACUGACGCUCAGGUGCGAAAGCGUGGGGAGCAAACAGG